AUUUUUUAUUUUAUUUUAUUUCUGUCUUUUUUAUUUUUAUUUUAUUUUAUUUUACUUAUUCUCAUUGCUUUUCAGACAACAAAAUAUGUUCAGCACUUAAACACAGAAAGGCUAAAGCAUGGGAAAGUAAAAGUCUAAGGGGAAGGAAAACACACAUCAUCAUUCCUACACAGAGAUAAACAAUGAAAAAGGGAAGAAAAGCAUGAAGGAGAUAAACAAGUACAAGUAUCGGAGGAGGGAAGACUAGGGCUUUCAGGAAGAAAGUCAUUCUGGCCACUGCUGUGCUGGGACCGUUUACUUGUCACAUGGUGCUUAAUCAUAAUAAAUUAAGUUUUAUUUUUCAUUUUGCAACAUGCUAACUUGGCUCAGCAGGUAAUGGGAGGAGUCCUGGGUCGCCAAAUGGUUUUUAACUGAGAAUAACAACAAUUUCCCCCCUGCAGGCUGGCAUAAAUAAUGUAUUUAAAACGUGCCUCUUUCGAGCAGAUUAUUCCAGCUGCUUCUUGUUCUUAAAGCUCGUUGGGAGGUUUAACACCAUAAAGUCAGCCCUCCUGAAGCUACAAUUAUCAUCCUCAAGCAGCAGUCCUGGGAAACGGCACCUCAUUAAUGAGAAAGUAUGACCCCAGCCUAGGUGUAAUGGAACUGCCACAAAGACCAAAACCAAGAUAGAAUCAACACUCCAUGAGUAUUGUACUUACGGGAGGUUUCAGUAAGAUAAACACUUCACAGAUAACUAAAGUUCUAGGGCUUCAGGCCAAGAUAUUUAUUGACUUAGAAGGUACUUAUCUCUUAGUUCACUCCCAUGUACAAAAAAUAAUGAUAGUAAUUACGUUAAAAAACAGAUCACUUUUUAAAUUAUUUAAAAGUGCUCUUCCAGAGUUUAACAGGAUAAUAAUUGCUCCAGCAGCUUUUAUGACCUGUGGGGAAAAAAUUAGCCAGAGGGAAAAGGAAGAUCCCAACCUGCUGUUUGUAUUUCAUUCUUAUUUAUUUAUUUAUUUUUAGCAUGGUAUCUUCAUUUGAAAUACACCAGACAUUUGGGGAGAUGGCCCAAAUGAGUACAAAUUAUUUCUGAGUAUAAGGAAGAUACAAGCUCCUUUAAAAUGAUAAUUGUAUUAAAAUACCCAGAAGAGAGAGAGAUUAGAGAAAUAUCAGACUGUGUACCUAGAUAAAAUUAAGACGUAACUAAAGUUUGUGGCAAUCAGAAUCUCACCAUCUCAGAGAAAUACAGACACCUGAAAAUGUCGUCCCCCCCUCCUGCCCCCCAAUUCCAAAAUAGAACAAAAUAUCACAGUAUGCAAAUUCUUAUGUUAUAUUUUAUGCAUUAUUAAAAUAUUUCAUACUUUUCUCAGCAUUGAUGAGACUACACCUGCGUCCGGUUCUGGACCCUGCAGUACAUGAGAGACAUGGAAAGAGUCGGGCCACAAAAAUGAUUGAAGGGACUGGAGCACCUCUCCUAUGAGGAGGGGCUGAGAGAUCCAGGACUGUUCAGCCUUGAGAAGAGGAGGCUCAGUAGUGAUCUUAUCAAUAUUUUUAAAUACAUGAAGGGAGGGUGCAAAGAAGAUGGAGCUGGGCACAAACUGUAGCACAAGAGGUUCUGCCUAAACAUCAGGAAGCAAGAGAAGCUGUGAGAGUCUCUUCCUUGAAGAUAUAGGAAAGCUUCCUGGACAUGAUCCUGGGCACUCUGCUUGAGCACAGGUUGGAUCAGACAACCUCCAGAGAUCUCUUUCAAUCUUAACCAUUCUUUGAUUCUAAUUUUUCUUUAGCUGCCCCAUAUUGCCAAUGUAAAAUAAAUCUUGUAACAAAGACCGUGUUUGCUUGUCU
rnacentral:lncRNA from 1 species